rnacentral:rRNA from 1 species
AUUGAACGCUGGCGACAUGCCUUACACAUGCAAGUCGAACGGCAGCACGGGUGCUUGCACCUGGUGGCGAGUGGCGAACGGGUGAGUAAUACAUCGGAACAUGUCCUGUAGUGGGGGAUAGCCCGGCGAAAGCCGGAUUAAUACCGCAUACGAUCUACGGAUGAAAGCGGGGGACCUUCGGGCCUCGCGCUAUAGGGUUGGCCGAUGGCUGAUUAGCUAGUUGGUGGGGUAAAGGCCUACCAAGGCGACGACCAGUAGCCGGUCUGAGAGGAGGACCAGCCACACUGGAAAUGGGACACGGUACAGACUCCUACGGGAGGCAGCAGUAGGGAAUCUUGCGCAAUGGGCGAAAGCUUGACGGAGCAACGCCGCGUGAGUGAUGAAGGUCUUCGGAUCGGAAAACUCUGUUAUUAGGGAAGAACAACUGUGUAAGUAAACAUGCAUGUCUUGACGGUACCUAAUCAGAAAGCCACGGCUAACUACGUG